GCCGGGCGUUGUGGCGGGCGCCUGUGGUCCCAGCUACUUGGGAGGUGGAGGCAAGAGACUCGCUUGAGCCCAGGAGUUGGAGGUUGCUGUGAGCUGUAAUGCCACGGCACUCUACCCAGGGGGACAGCUUGAGGCUCUGUCUCAAAAAAAAAAAAAAAAAAAAAAAAAAAGAGACAGAGCCUUCAAACUGUUGCCCAGGGUAGAGUGCUGUGGCAUCACAGCUCACAGCAACCUCCAACUCUUGGGCUUAAGUGAUUCUCUCUCUCUU
rfam:Otolemur garnettii contig059575, whole genome shotgun sequence.